ACGGAGGGUGCAAGCGUUAAUCGGAAUAACUGGGCGUAAAGCGCACGCAGGCGGUUUGAUAAGUCAGAUGUGAAAUCCCCGGGCUCAACCUGGGAACUGCAUUUGAAACUGUCUGACUAGAGGCUUGUAGAGGGGGGUGGAAUUCCAGGUGUAGGGGUGAAAUGCGUAGAUAUUUGGAGGAAUACCGGUGGCGAAGGCGGCCCCCUGGAACAAGACUGACGGUCAGGAGCGAAAGCGUGGGGAGCAAACAG
rnacentral:rRNA from 1 species